rnacentral:rRNA from 1 species
CCUACGGGAGGCUGCAGUGGGGGAUAUUGCACAAUGGGGGAAACCCUGAUGCAGCGACGCCGCGUGAGGGAUGAAGGUUUUCGGAUCGUAAACCUCUGUCAGCAGGGAAGAACGGUCACUGUGCUAAUCAGCAGUGAAUUGACGGUACCUGAAAAGGAAGCACCGGCUAACUCCGUGCCAGCAGCCGCGGUAAUACGGAGGGUGCGAGCGUUAAUCGGAUUUAUUGGGCGUAAAGCGCUCGUAGGCGGUAUGUCAAGUCAAGGGUGAAAUCCCCGGGCUCAACGUGGGAACUGCCUUUGAAACUGGCAGACUGGAGUGUGUGAGAGGAUAGUGGAAUUCCAGGUGUAGGAGUGAAAUCCGUAGAUAUCUGGAGGAACAUCAGUGGCGAAGGCGACUAUCUGGCACAUAACUGACGCUGAGGAGCGAAAGCGUGGGUAGCAAACAGGAUUAGAUACCCGAGUAGUC